GUUGCAUCGAGGGCCGGAUCCGGCCCGCGGGCCGUAGUUUGGCGACCCCUGGUUUAGAGCAUACUUUGAUGUUAACUCAUUGUAACAAUGAACCUACUAAAAGUAAAGAACUAGUAGGUAUAAUCAAUACAGCUUUAGAAUAUGGAUAUACUAAAUGUUUUACAAUCAAUAUAUUUGAAGCUAUGUUAAAAUGUAAAAAUUGCAUACAACAAAUCAAUGACAUACAAACAACAGAAAACCAUAGAGAAGAGAAUACACACAUUAUUUUUAUUCCAUACCACAUGGUAAGGUCCAACACACUUAAGAAAUUGGCCAACACAGGCAACAACAUAAGAUUAGUGACAAAAAGGGAGCCUACCGUCUUCUAACUCCUAUGUAAUGAUAAAGAUAAAUGGAAACAACACCAAAAAAUGAGAGUAUAUAAAAU
rnacentral:lncRNA from 1 species